rnacentral:ncRNA from 2 species
CGGCCGCGCCGUGGCGAUUUGUUACCCGAUUGCGGGCCACGUUAAUCCAUCCGCUAAAGAGGUCUGGGUGCACCCCCG